AACGAACGCUGGCGGCAUGCCUAACACAUGCAAGUCGAACGAAGCCUUCGGGCUUUGUGGCGCACGGGUGCGUAACGCGUGGGAAUCUGCCCUUUGGUUCGGAAUAACAGUUGGAAACGACUGCUAAUACCGGAUGAUGACGAAAGUCCAAAGAUUUAUCGCCAGAGGAUGAGCCCGCGUAGGAUUAGCUAGUUGGUGUGGUAAAGGCGCACCAAGGCGACGAUCCUUAGCUGGUCUGAGAGGAUGAUCAGCCACACUGGGACUGAGGCACGGCCCAGACGCCUACGGGAGGCAGCAGUGGGGAAUAUUGGACGAUGGGCGAAAGCCUGAUCCAGCAAUGCCGCGUGAGUGAUGAAGGCCCUAGGGUUGUAAAGCUCUUUUACCCGGGAUGAUAAUGACAGUACCGGGAGAAUAAGCCCCGGCUAACUCCGUGCCAGCCGCCGCCGUAA
rnacentral:rRNA from 1 species